GAUGAAGAACGCAGCGAAAUGCGAUAAGUAAUGUGAAUUGCAGAAUUCAGUGAAUCAUCGAAUCUUUGAACGCACAUUGCGCCCCCCAGUAUUCUAGCGGGCAUGCCUGUUCGAGCGUCAUUUCAACCAUCAAGCCCUGCUUGUGUUGGGGUCCUGCGGCUGCCCGCAGGCCCUGAAAACCAGUGGCGGGCUCGCUAGUCACACCGAGCGCAGUAGCACAUCUCGCUCAGGGCGUGCGGCGGGCUCCAGCCGUUAAAGCACCCACCUUUCGCAAGGUUGACCUCGGAUCAGGUAGGAAUACCCGCUGAACUUAAGCAUAUCAAUAAGCGGAGGA
rnacentral:misc_RNA from 1 species